CAGUCGCCACGGGAAUACGGAGGGUGCAAGCGUUAAUCGGAAUUACUGGGCGUAAAGCGCACGCAGGCGGUCUGUCAAGUCGGAUGUGAAAUCCCUGAGCUUAACUUAGGAAUUGCAUUCGAUACUGGGAAGCUAGAGUAUGGGAGAGGAUGGUAGAAUUCCAGGUGUAGCGGUGAAAUGCGUAGAGAUCUGGAGGAAUACCGAUGGCGAAGGCAGCCAUCUGGCCUAAUACUGACGCUGAGGUACGAAAGCAUGGGGAGCAAACAGGAUUAGAUACCCCCGUAGUCCCUGUCUCUUAUAC
rnacentral:rRNA from 1 species